rnacentral:rRNA from 1 species
GGUACAUCGGUGACAGGUGGUGCAUGGUUGUCGUCAGCUCGUGUCGUGAGAUGUUGGGUUAAGUCCCGCAACGAGCGCAACCCCUAUUGUUAGUUGCCAUCAUUCAGUUGGGCACUCUAGCGAGACUGCCGGUAAUAAACCGGAGGAAGUGGGGAUGACGUCAAAUCAUCAUGCCCCUUAUGACCUGGGCUACACACGUGCUACAAUGGUUGGUACAACGAGUUGCGAGUCGGUGACGGCGAGCUAAUCUCUUAAAGCCAAUCUCAGUUCGGAUUGUAGGCUGCAACCCGCCUACAUGAAGUCGGAAUCGCUAGUAAUCGCGGAUCAGCACGCCCGCGGUUCCGAAUACGUUCCGGCCUU